AGUGAACGCUGGCGGUAGGCCUAACACAUGCAAGUCGAACGGCAGCACAGUAAGAGCUUGCUCUUACGGGUGGCGAGUGGCGGACGGGUGAGGAAUACAUCGGAAUCUACUUUUUCGUGGGGGAUAACGUAGGGAAACUUACGCUAAUACCGCAUACGACCUACGGGUGAAAGCAGGGGAUCUUCGGACCUUGCGCGAUUGAAUGAGCCGAUGUCGGAUUAGCUAGUUGGCGGGGUAAAGGCCCACCAAGGCGGCGAUCCGUAGCUGGUCUGAGAGGAUGAUCAGCCACACUGGAACUGAGACACGGUCCAGACUCCUACGGGAGGCAGCAGUGGGGAAUAUUGGACAAUGGGCGCAAGCCUGAUCCAGCCAUACCGCGUGAGUGAAGAAGGCCUUCGGGUUGUAAAGCCCUUUUGUUGGGAAAGAAAAGCAGCAGGUUAAUACCCCGCUGUUCUGACGGUACCCAAAGAAUAAGCACCGGCUAACUUCGUG
rnacentral:rRNA from 1 species